GAUGAACGUUGGCGGCGUGGAUUAGGCAUGCAAGUCGCGCGAGAAGUCAUUUAGCUUGCUAAAAGACGGACAGCGGCGGAAGGGAGAGUAACGCGUGGUUAUGUACCCUCGAGACCGGGAUAGUGUCGGGAAAAUGGCAGUAAUACCGGAUAACAUCUUCGGAUCAAAUGGUGUGAUUCCGCUCGAGGAUCGGACCGCGUACUAUUAGCUAGUUGGAGGGGUAAUGGCCCACCAAGGCUUAGAUGGUUACCGGGUGUGAGAGCAGGGCCCGGGUCACUGGGACUGAGACACUGCCCAGACAUCUACGGAUGGCUGCAGUCGAGAAUCUUCGGCAAUGGACGAAAGUCUGACCGAGCGACGCCGCGUGCGGGAUGAAGGCCUUCGGGUUGUAAACCGCUGUCAGUUAGGAGGAAAUCCAUGAGGGUUCUCUCUCAUGGUUGACCGAUUUUCAGAGGAAGGACGGGCUAAGUUCGUGCCAGCAGCCGCGGUAAGAC
rnacentral:rRNA from 1 species